rnacentral:rRNA from 1 species
GAUGAACGCUGGCGGCGUGCCUAAUACAUGCAAGUCGAGCGAACGGACGAGAAGCUUGCCUCUCUGAUGUUAGCGGCGGACGGGUGAGUAACACGUGGAUAACCUACCUAUAAGACUGGGAUAACUUCGGGAAACCGGAGCUAAUACCGGAUAAUAUUUUGAACCGCAUGGAUCAAAAGUGAAAGACGGUCUUGCUGUCACUUAUAGAUGGUUCCGCGCUGCAUUAGCUAGUUGGUAAGGUAACGGCUUACCAAGGCAACGAUGCAUAGCCGACCUGAGAGGGUGAUCAGCCACACUGGAACUGAGACACGGUCCAGACUCCUACGGGAGGCAGCAGUAGGGAAUCUUCCGCAAUGGGCGAAAGCCUGACGGAGCAACGCCGCGUGAGUGAUGAAGGUCUUCGGAUCGUAAAACUCUGUUAGUAGGGAAGAACAUAUGUGUAAGUAACUGUGCACAUCUUGACGGUACCUAAUCAGAAAGCCACGGCUAACUACGUG